rnacentral:rRNA from 1 species
AACCUGCCUCAUAGUGGGGAGUAACAGUUGGAAGCGGCUGCUAAUACCGCAUAAGCGCACAGCAUCGCAUGAUGCCGUGUGAAAAACUCCGGUGCUAUGAGAUGGAUCCGCGUCUGAUUAGCUAGUUGGUAGGGUAAGAGCCUACCAAGGCGACGAUCAGUAGCCGGCCUGAGAGGGCGACCGGCCACAUUGGGACUGAGACACGGCCCAGACUCCUACGGGAGGCAGCAGCC